rnacentral:rRNA from 1 species
UGGGGAAUUUUGGACAAUGGGCGAAAGCCUGAUCCAGCAAUGCCGCGUGUGUGAAGAAGGCCUUCGGGUUGUAAAGCACUUUUGUCCGGAAAGAAAUCCUUGGGCUCUAAUACAGUCGGGGGAUGACGGUACCGGAAGAAUAAGCACCGGCUAACUACGUGCCAGCAGCCGCGGUAAUACGUAGGGUGCAAGCGUUAAUCGGAAUUACUGGGCGUAAAGCGUGCGCAGGCGGUUUGCUAAGACCGAUGUGAAAUCCCGGGCUCAACCUGGGAACUGCAUUGGUGACUGGCAGGCUAGAGUAUGGCAGAGGGGGGUAGAAUUCCACGUGUAGCAGUGAAAUGCGUAGAGAUGUGGAGGAAUACCGAUGGCGAAGGCAGCCCCCUGGGCAAUACUGACGCUCAUGCACGAAAGCGUGGGGAGCAAACAGGAUU